CGGACGGGUGAGUAACGCGUGAGAAUCUGGCUCCCGGUCGGGGACAACAGAGGGAAACUUCUGCUAAUCCCGGAUGAGCCGAAAGGUAAAAGAUUUAUCGUCGGGAGAUGAGCUCGCGUCUGAUUAGCUAGUUGGUGAGGUAAAGGCUCACCAAGGCGACGAUCAGUAGCUGGUCUGAGAGGAUGAUCUGCCACACUGGGACUGAGACACGGCCCAGGCUCCUACGGGAGGCAGCAGUGGGGAAUUUUCCGCAAUGGGCGCAAGCCUGACGGAGCAAGACCGCGUGGGGGAGGAAGGCUCUUGGGUUGUAAACCCCUUUUCUCAAGGAAGAACACAAUGACGGUACUUGAGGAAUAAGCCUCGGCUAACUCCGUGCCAGCAGCCGCGGUAAUACGGAGGAGGCAAGCGUUAUCCGGAAUGAUUGGGCGUAAAGCGUCCGUAGGUGGCAGUUCAAGUCUGCUGUCAGAGACAGUAGCUCAACUACUGAAAGGCAGUGGAAACUGAACAGCUAGAGUACGGUAGGGGCAGAGGGAAUUCCCGGUGUAGCGGUGAAAUGCGUAGAUAUCGGGAAGAACACCGGUGGCGAAAGCGCUCUGCUGGGCCGUAACUGACACUGAGGGACGAAAGCUAGGGGAGCGAAUGGGAUUAGAUACCCCAGUAGUC
rnacentral:rRNA from 1 species